rnacentral:rRNA from 1 species
AGUGAGUAGAGUGGCGGACGGGUGAGUAACGCGUAGGAAUCUAUCCUGUAGUGGGGGAUAACGUUUCGAAAGGAACGCUAAUACCGCAUACGCCCCAAGGGGGAAAGCGGGGGAUCUUCGGACCUCGUGCUAUAGGAGGAGCCUGCGUCGGAUUAGCUAGUUGGUGAGGUAAAGGCUCACCAAGGCGACGAUCCGUAGCUGGUCUGAGAGGAUGAUCAGCCACACCGGAACUGAGACACGGUCCGGACUCCUACGGGAGGCAGCAGUAGGGAAUAUUGGACAAUGGGCGCAAGCCUGAUCCAGCCAUCCCGCGUGAAGGAUUAAGGCCCUCUGGGUUGUAAACUUCUUUUCUUUGGGAAUAAAAACUCCGUUUCUACGGAGCUUGAAGGUACCAGAGGAAUAAGCACCGGCUAACUCCGUG